GAGAACAUGAUCGCAUUCUUUUGUGGCUGCCUAGUGUUUUUUGUUGUAUAUGUACCACAUUUUCUUUAUCCAGUCUACCAUUGAUGGGCAUUUAGCUUGAUUCCAUAUUUUUGCUAUUGUGAACAGUGCUGCCAUGGACAUAUGCGUGCACAUGUCUCUAUAACAGAAGGAUUUAUAUUCCUUUGGGUACAUACCUAGUAACCCAUUACUAGGUUUGCUGAAUCAAAUGGUAUUUCACUCUUUAGGUCUUUGAGGAAUCAUGACACUUUUUCACAAUGGCAGAACUAAUUUGCAUUCCCGAAUACAGUGUAUGGAGUGUUGUUCUCUCAACCAGGCUGGAGUGCAGUGGUGUGAUAUGGGCUCACUGCAACAUUUAUCUCCUGGGUUCAAGCAGUUCUCCUGCCUCAGCCUCCUGAGUACCUGGGAUUACAGAUGAAGAAGAUGAGACUCAGAGCAAUACAUAAGUUGCCCAAGGUCAGAGAGCAAUGACCAUAUCAGAGCACAGUGUACUCCUCUUGCCGUAUUCAGAGGAUUUGCCUAUGGGCAGCAACAUUAUUCUCUCGUUCUCUGGAUAUUAGGAACAAUAUCACAGGACCGGCGGACAGCCCCAGUCAUAUCUGACCAUACCACAGCACGGUGUACUCCUCUUGCCGUAUUCAGAGGAUUUGCCUAUGGGCAGAAACAUUCUCCUCUCCUUCUCUGGAUAUUAGAAACAUUAUCACAGGACCGGCAAACAGCUGCAGUCAUAUCGUGAGUAAUGUCAUCUGUAAUCCCCUAGUUAUUAAAAACAA